rnacentral:rRNA from 1 species
GUAGGGAAUAUUGCACAAUGGAGGAAACUCUGAUGCAGCGACGCCGCGUGAGUGAUGAAGGCCUUCGGGUCGUAAAGCUCUGUCGCAGGGGAAUAACACAAUGAAGGUACCCUGUAAGAAAGGAUCGUCUAACUUCGUGCCAGCAGCCGCGGUAAGACGAGGGAUCCUAGCGUUGUUCGGAAUCAUUGGGCGUAAAGCGGAUGUAGGUGGCUAUGUAAGGCAGAUGUGAAAGGCUGGGUGUCAACCUCCGAAGUGCAUUGGAUACUGCGUAGCUUGAGUGUCGGAGAGGUUACUAGAAUUGUUGGUGUAGUGGUGAAAUACGUAGAUAUCAACAGGAAUACCGGAGGCGAAGGCGGGUAACUGGCCGAACACUGACACUGAGAUCCGAAAGCGUGGGGAUCAAACAGGAUUAGAAACCCGUGUAGUCC